GACGAACCGUGCGAACGUUAUUCGGAAUCACUGGGCUUAAAGCGCGUGUAGGCGGAUCGCCGCGUCGGCUGCUGAAAUCCCCCGGCUCAACCGGGGAACGGGCACCGAUACGGGCGGUCUGGAGGGGGGUAGGGGGGCCUGGAACUUCCGGUGGAGCGGUGAAAUGCGUAGAGAUCCGGAAGAACACCGGUGGCGAAGGCGGCCUGCUGGGACGUGGCUGACGCUGAGGCGCGACAGCGUGGGGAGCAACAGG
rnacentral:rRNA from 1 species